CCUGAGGAUACAGCAACACCUGCUGCUCUCUCUAACAACUUCUCCUUCUCCCACACCCCUCGACAUACUGGUAGGGGUGGGGGAACAGGUCAGCUGACAAGCUUUCUUGAGGAAUUGGAUGUCCUGCUGUCCUCCUUGCCAGAGGAUGGCAGGCCACUUGUGGUUCUUGGUGAUUUCAACAUACACCAGGACAAACCCCAGGCCAUUGAACUGAAUACUCUUCUGGCCUCAUUUGACUUGGAAAGACUACACACCACAGCAACUCACAGACCAGCACGGACUACACCACCCAGCCCCUGGCUGUCUGACAUCCUUCGUGAACAUCGGACUGUUCUCAGGGCAGCUGAGAGGAGAUGGC